AUUGAACGCUGGCGGCAUGCCUUACACAUGCAAGUCGAACGGCAGCACGGGAGCAAUCCUGGUGGCGAGUGGCGAACGGGUGAGUAAUAUAUCGGAACGUGCCCGGUCGUGGGGAUAACGUAGCGAAAGCUACGCUAAUACCGCAUACGAUCUACGGAUGAAAGCGGGGGAUCGCAAGACCUCGCGCGAUUGGAGCGGCCGAUAUCAGAUUAGGUAGUUGGUGAGGUAAAGGCUCACCAAGCCGACGAUCUGUAGCUGGUCUGAGAGGACGACCAGCCACACUGGGACUGAGACACGGCCCAGACUCCUACGGGAGGCAGCAGUGGGGAAUUUUGGACAAUGGGCGCAAGCCUGAUCCAGCAAUGCCGCGUGCAGGAUGAAGGCCUCGGUUGUAACGUA
rnacentral:rRNA from 1 species